ACGGCUCAGUAACACGUGGAUAACCUGCCCUUGGGUCCGGCAUAACCCCGGGAAACUGGGGAUAAUUCCGGAUAACGCAUAUAUGCUGGAAUGCUUUAUGCGUAAAAUGGAUUCGUCUGCCCAAGGAUGGGUCUGCGGCCUAUCAGGUAGUAGUGGGUGUAAUGUACCUACUAGCCGACAACGGGUACGGGUUGUGAGAGCAAGAGCCCGGAGAUGGAUUCUGAGACAUGAAUCCAGGCCCUACGGGGCGCAGCAGGCGCGAAAACUUUACAAUGCGGGAAACCGUGAUAAGGGGACACCGAGUGCCAGCAUCAUAUGCUGGCUGUCCAGGUGUGUAAACUACACCUGUUAGCAAGGGCCGGGCAAGACCGGUGCCAGCCGCCGCGGUAACACCGGCGGCCCGAGUGGUGAUCGUGAUUAUUGGGUCUAAAGGGUCCGUAGCCGGUUUGGUCAGUCCUCCGGGAAAUCUGACGGCUCAACCGUUAGGCUUUCGGGGGAUACUGCCAGGCUUGGAACUGGGAGAGGUAAGAGGUACUACAGGGGUAGGAGUGAAAUCUUGUAAUCCCUGUGGGACCACCUGUGGCGAAGGCGUCUUACCAGAACGGGUUCGACGGUGAGGGACGAAAGCUGGGGGCACGAACCGGAUUAGAUACCCGGGUAGUCCCAGCCGUAAACGAUGCUCGCUAGGUGUCAGGCAUGGCGCGACCGUGUCUGGUGCCGCAGGGAAGCCGUGAAGCGAGCCACCUGGGAAGUACGGCCGCAAGGCUGAAACUUAAAGGAAUUGGCGGGGGAGCAC
rnacentral:rRNA from 1 species